rnacentral:rRNA from 1 species
UACGUAGGGUGCGAGCGUUGUCCGGAAUUACUGGGCGUAUAGAGCUCGUAGGUGGUUUGUCGCGUCGUCUGUGAAAUUCCGGGGCUUAACUCCGGGCGUGCAGGCGAUACGGGCAUAACUUGAGUACUGUAGGGGAGACUGGAAUUCCUGGUGUAGCGGUGAAAUGCGCAGAUAUCAGGAGGAGCACCGGUGGCGAAGGCGGGUCUCUGGGCAGUAACUGACACUGAGGCUCGAAAGCGUGGGGAGCAAACAGU